rnacentral:rRNA from 1 species
AUACGGAGGAUGCGAGCGUUAUCCGGAUUUAUUGGGUUUAAAGGGAGCGUAGGUGGGAUAUUAAGUCAGCUGUGAAAGUUUGGGGCUCAACCUUAAAAUUGCAGUUGAUACUGGUUUCCUUGAGUACGGUACAGGUGGGCGGAAUUCGUUGUGUAGCGGUGAAAUGCAUAGAUAUGACGAAGAACACCGAUUGCGUAGGCAGCUGGCCAGACCGGAAAUGACGCUCAUGCACGAAAGUGCGGGGAUCGAACAGGAUUAGAUACCCUGGUAGUCCGCACAGUAAACGAUGAAUACUUGUUUUCGGCGAUAUAAUGUCGGAGGCAAAGCGAAAGCGAUAAGUAUUCCACCUGGGGAGUACGCCGGCAACGGUGAAACUCAAAUGAAUUGACGGGG